AUUGAACGCUGGCGGAAUGCUUUACACAUGCAAGUCGAGCGGCAGCGCGGGGGCAACCCUGGCGGCGAGCGGCGAACGGGUGAGUAGUACAUCGGAACGUGUCCUUAAGUGGGGGAUAGCUCGGCGAAAGCCGGAUUAAUACCGCAUAAGCUCUGAGGAGGAAAGCGGGGGCUCCGUAAGGACCUCGCGCUGUUGGAGCGGCCGAUGUCGGAUUAGCUAGUUGGUGGGGUAAAGGCCCACCAAGGCGACGAUCCGUAGCUGGUCUGAGAGGAUGAUCAGCCACACUGGAACUGAGACACGGUCCAGACUCCUACGGGAGGCAGCAGUGGGGAAUUUUGGACAAUGGGGGCAACCCUGAUCCAGCCAUUCCGCGUGAGUGAAGAAGGCCU
rnacentral:rRNA from 1 species